GCCCGCGGCGGGCGGGAGCCGAGGCGCUGCGGCGGCGGCGGGCGGGGGGGCUCCACGCGCCGCUUCGUGCCCCCCCCCCCAAUCCUCCUCCUCCUCUUCCUGCUCCCCUUUCUCCGCCGCCACCGGCCCGCGGCCCUGCACCAUCGGCAGGCCGGGCCGAGCCGUGCCGGGGCUCCGGGCACAGCCCCGAGCAGAGCCCGCAGCCCUGCCGCCGCGCCCCCGCCCGCCUGUCUGUUUUCCCUUUGUACUUUCCAUCCCGCUGUACCCCCCAUCUCCUCAUCCCAUAACGUUUUUUUUUUUUUUUUUUCCACAGGAAUAAUGUGUUAAUCAAUCUUUUACUUUUGUUUCCGGAUCUGACAUGGUGGCCCACACAAUCUACAACAUUAACAAAAAGGUCACUUAGAGAUAAAACACGUUUGACAAGUGAAGAACAAGGCAAGUGCUUUAGGGGUCGCGUCCAAUUCCUGACCUGGACUCCGACCAGAACAGGCGCUGAUCCUGGAAGGGGUGGGCGAGAGGAAGGACUUCCACUUUCUCGCCUUUAUAUCUGCUGAACCAAGUCCCUUUUCUUCCCUCGAAACACCGAUCUCCCCCAGCCCCUUAGCAGAUGGAUCAGAUAGCCUUUAAUGAUCUUCUCUCCUUACGAGGUAGACAUAAGGCACGUUUUCCUAGAUAUCCUCCCCACCCCCCCGUAAAGCGGUACCCUUUAAAUCCUGCAGCCAAAAAGUUCAUAUGCUCAAUGGAUGACAAAGUAAGGCUGCAGUAUGAGAGUGCGAAGAGUUUUUUUCCAGACCAGCUUCAUUCAGGUACUCCCAACUCUGAUAAAUGUACUACCUUUAGUGUCAGGAGCAGAGAUUAAAGGCAACAGGAGCUUGGCCAAGGUCACAAGUCCUUACAGUAAAUAAGUGGUCCGUUCAAGUAAACUUAUUAAAUUGUGGCCACAGAAGAACAGAGGCUAGACAGAGUUAGCAGCUCUUAAAUUCCAGUUCCAGGUUUACCAUUAACAGCAUGCAACUUUAUUGUGUGGCUUUGUAUCUGUAAAAUGGGGUCCUGCUAUUUAGUUAUCAAUUACAAAGAGUUUUAAUGAGGAUAAAAUAGUAAAUGCUUUAAUGCAUUACCAUGUCAUAACAAAGCCAAGAACUUAAUCUCAUAUUCCCUAAAGCAGUGCAGUAACACAAUGCACUGUGUCUUUCUGCAUAAUAGUGAAGUUGAAUCAAGAAUCAUCUUUUUUCCUGUUUAGGGUGUCGUGCUCUCUUGUCAUAACAAACAGUGUUAUUUCAAAUGCCAGUGCUGCCCCAAGUUUUAUGUUUUGCAUUACUCGGUGACCAGAAGCAAACAUGCUUCGAGGUUUCUGUUUCCUCCACUGAUUUUUCAAACUCAUGAAAUGAUGUAGUACAACAUGUGUGUGCAAUGAUGAGAUUUAUUUGGUCCUUUGAAUUAGUAGCUGCCACAUAUUUCUAUAAUAUUUGAAGUUAGUGGUCAUGCAGGUGUUUUUUUUUAUUUUUUUUUAGAUUUAUGCAAUAUGGUUUUCUUAUUAUUUUACCUGUGACCUUGAAAUCAUGAAUAGUCUCCAUGCUAGUGUGACAGAGGUACAAAUGGUAUCAUUUUAUAGCUUUGGUUGUCUUGUUUGAAUGUUAUUAAUAUACAAAGGUAAAAUCAAUUAACAAAAUACCCUUUUUGAAAUGUAAUUUAUUAACUCUGUAUUAGAGUAUUCUUCGGUUGAACAGCUCUAAGACAGAGAUAAUAUAAUAGUGUUGUGGCUACUUCAGUUAUGGCUUGCUUCGUCUCUCCUUGGACUAAAAGGCAAAAUUUUCUCAUUUUCUUAUACAUGAACAGAAUUGGACUGUAGUAAGCAGCUGUUUUAGUUCAGUAAUCAACCAUUGUUUCAUUCCCACAUUUUUAUCAUGAUCUCAGUGGGAAAAGCAAAUUUAAGUAGGAUGCUUUUAUAGGUAUGAUAGGUUUUUAAUAUCAAAGUAUAUUAAUAAGAAAGAAGAAUAGUCGGACCCAAAUUAUAAUAUCUAAGGAGCGCAGUAAACAUUACAACUCAAUUUAAAAUACCAUAGAGAUGCUUCAGUUUGGUCUGUUGGUAUCCAUUCAUAUCUGUUACUGUUAAUAAUAAUAAUAAACCAUAUUAGUUAAACGGGGCGGGGGGGAUA
rnacentral:lncRNA from 1 species